rnacentral:rRNA from 1 species
UUGCUCGGUUAUAUCAUGCUGUCGAGCGACGGACGAGAAGCUUGCUUCUCUGAUGUUAGCGGCGGACGGGUGAGUAACACGUGGAUAACCUACCUAUAAGACUGGGAUAACUUCGGGAAACCGGAGCUAAUACCGGAUAAUAUUUUGAACCGCAUGGUUCAAAAGUGAAAGACGGUCUUGCUGUCACUUAUAGAUGGAUCCGCGCUGCAUUAGCUAGUUGGUAAGGUAACGGCUUACCAAGGCAACGAUGCAUAGCCGACCUGAGAGGGUGAUCGGCCACACUGGAACUGAGACACGGUCCAGACUCCUACGGGAGGCAGCAGUAGGGAAUCUUCCGCAAUGGGCGAAAGCCUGACGGAGCAACGCCGCGUGAGUGAUGAAGGUCUUCGGAUCGUAAAACUCUGUUAUUAGGGAAGAACAUAUGUGUAAGUAACUGUGCACAUCUUGACGGUACCUAAUCAGAAAGCCACGGCUAACUACGUGCCAGCAGCCGCGGUAAUACGUAGGUGGCAAGCGUUAUCCGGAAUUAUUGGGCGUAAAGCGCGCGUAGGCGGUUUUUUAAGUCUGAUGUGAAAGCCCACGGC